GUUACAAAAAGUAUGAUAACGGCUUGUCCUUCUUGUUAGAAUCCUUUGCAUCAAAGUGAAACUUCAAGCGUGAAGGUUUCAUUGCUUCGUUGGUCAAUAGUUCUGAGGAGAGGGAAUAAAUCCGAACGAUAAAUAAUCACUACUGUACUGUCAACAAAUUUUCUUGACUGGAGUCCUCAGUAAAGUGAAAAUGUGAAGACGAAUUUCUACAGACGGCGUCAGAAAGACAGUAUGGUAUUCCCAAAGAGAAGAAGAAUAGAGCAGAGUCAGAUGACAAAGACUCAUCGCACGAGGGGGUACCUAAAAUAAACCAGAAUUUGCAAUAUUAUCUUAUUUAUUUAGCUUUUACAUGUUUGCGCUUCUAUCGCCUUCAAAGUAUUCUCCGUUUGAAGCUGU